rnacentral:rRNA from 1 species
UCAAGUAAUUAAGUGCAUGUGGUGGAUGCCUUGGCAGUCAGAGGCGAUGAAAGACGUGAUAGCCUGCGAAAAGCUCCGGGGAGGCGGCAAAUAUCCUUUGAUCCGGAGAUGUCUGAAUGGGGGAACCCACCUACUUUAAGGUAGGUAUUGCAACAUGAAUACAUAGUGUUGCAAGGCGAACGAGGGGAAGUGAAACAUCUCAGUACCCUUAGGAAAAGAAAUCAAUUGAGAUUCCCUCAGUAGCGGCGAGCGAACGGGGAUCAGCCCAUUAAGUUAUGUGUGUUUUAGUGGAACGCUCUGGGAAGUGCGAACGUAGAGGGUGAUAUUCCCGUACACGAAAGGGCACACAUAAUGAUGACGAGUAGGGCGAGGCACGUGAAACCUUGUCUGAAUAUGGGGGGACCAUCCUCCAAGGCUAAAUACUCCUGACUGACCGAUAGUGAACCAGUACCGUGAGGGAAAGGCGAAAAGAACCCCUGUGAGGGGAGUGAAAUAGAUCCUGAAACCGCAUGCAUACAAGCAGUGGGAGCACCUUCGUGGUGUGACUGCGUACCUUUUGUAUAAUGGGUCAGCGACUUAUAUUCAGUAGCGAGGUUAACCGUAUAGGGGAGCCGUAGAGAAAUCGAGUCUUAAUAGGGCGUUUAGUUGCUGGGUAUAGACCCGAAACCAGGCGAUCUAUCCAUGAGCAGGUUGAAGGUUGGGUAACACUAACUGGAGGACCGAACCCACUGUCGUUGAAAAGCCAGGGGAUGACUUGUGGAUAGGGGUGAAAGGCUAAUCAAGCCUGGUGAUAGCUGGUUCUCCCCGAAAGCUAUUUAGGUAGCGCCUCGGACGAAUACCAUAGGGGGUAGAGCACUGUUUCGGCUAGGGGGUCAUCCCGACUUACCAAACCGAUGCAAACUCCGAAUACCUAUGAGUACUAUCCGGGAGACAGACUGCGGGUGCUAACGUCCGUAGUCAAGAGGAAAACAAUCCAGACCGCCAGCUAAGGCCCCAAAAUCAUAGUUAAGUGGGAAACGAUGUGGGAAGGCAUAGACAGCUAGGAGGUUGGCUUAGAAGCAGCCACCCUUUAAAGAAAGCGUAAUAGCUCACUAGUCGAGUCGGCCUGCGCGGAAGAUGUAACGGGGCUAAAACUAUGUGCCGAAGCUGCGGAUGUAUACUUUGUAUACGUGGUAGGGGAGCGUUCUGUAAGCCGAUGAAGGUGUGUUGAGAAGCAUGCUGGAGGUAUCAGAAGUGCGAAUGCUGACGUGAGUAACGACAAAACGGGUGAAAAACCCGUUCGCCGAAAGACCAAGGGUUCCAGUCCAACGUUAAUCGGGGCUGGGUGAGUCGACCCCUAAGGCGAGGCCGAAAGGCGUAGUCGAUGGGAAAAUGGUUAAUAUUCCAUUACUUCUGUGUAAUGCGAUGAGAGGACGGAGAAGGCUAAAUCAGCCUGGCGUUGGUUGUCCAGGUGAAAGGAUGUAGGCAUGUAUCUUAGGCAAAUCCGGGGUACUCUAUGCUGAGAUCUGAUAGCAAGCUGUACUUGUACAGCGAAGUGGUUGAUGCCAUGCUUCCAGGAAAAGUCUCUAAGCUUCAGUUACACAGGAAUCGUACCCGAAACCGACACAGGUGGUCAGGUCGAGUAGACCAAGGCGCUUGAGAGAACUCUGCUGAAGGAACUAGGCAAAAUGGUACCGUAACUUCGGGAGAAGGUACGCUGUUGUUGGUGAUGGAACUCGCUUCCUGAGCUGACGACAGCCGCAGAAACCAGGCCGCUGCAACUGUUUAUUAAAAACAUAGCACUCUGCAAACACGAAAGUGGACGUAUAGGGUGUGAUGCCUGCCCGGUGCUGGAAGGUUAAUUGAUGGGGUUAGCGUAAGCGAAGCUCUUGAUCGAAGCCCCAGUAAACGGCGGCCGUAACUAUAACGGUCCUAAGGUAGCGAAAUUCCUUGUCGGGUAAGUUCCGACCU